rnacentral:lncRNA from 1 species
UGGGUGCGUGUGUGCAUGUGGGUGGAUGUGUAUGCAUGUGGGUGGAUAUGUGUGCAUGUAUGUGUGCAUUGUGUGCGUGUGUGCAUGUGGGUGCGUGUGUGUGCAUGUGUGGGUGGAUAUGUGUGCAUUGUGUGCGUGUGUUUGCAUGUGUGUGCAUGUGUGCGUGCAUGCAUGUGGGUGUGCGUGUGUGUAUGUGUGUGGGUGCAUGGGUGCAUGUGUGGGUGCAUGUGAGUGCAUGCGUGUGUGUGGGUGCGUGUGUGUGAGUAUGCAUGUCUCUGUGGUUGUGUGUAUCUUGAAACAAAUAUAGCCUUUUUAUCAGUUGUCCCAAUUAAUACCUCUUCAGACAAUAUGGUUUUUAAUGAGUAGCUCUUUUGAAACCAGGAAAGUUUCUAUUUCUAACCCCUUUGGUUUAGGCACAGCCUCUUUUUGCCAUCUGGAAUCAAAGAGCUUGUGCUGACGUGCUUGACCGCG